GUUCAUUUUAUUGGAUUAACUUAUUAAAUUAUUUUACAUUUACUAACUGCCUUUAACUGGAAUCACUUGUAAAUGAGGUGGACUAGUUGGUUUACUGAUUCCGUCUAGAACCUAGCUGAUUCUCUGAAGGCAGGAAUACAUUCUUAUUUGAUUAGGACAGAAGUUGAUGCAACUGAUUGAACAUGUUUUCUUUCGAUGAUAGUUUCUAAAGGGACCAGAAAUUUGUAACAUGCUGAAUUAUAUAUGGGACAGCAUAAUGUUUAUUUAUUGUGGGUUUCUCCAGAAAACUUCACCUUUAUUUCAAUAACCUUGCCUCCUUUUAUAUACAAAUUACAUAAAUUCUUAUCUCCUUUUAUAUACAAAUUACAUACUCCUAUUUGAGAAAUUGAAAUCACAUAAUAUCUCUUAAUCAAUUACAGCUAUUAUCUAAUCAAAUCUUCCUAAGUAUACAAUAUCAAAUCAAAUCUGUGCAAUAAAUUUGCAACAAAUUUACAGGAAUUUGCCUAGAUUGAUUCUCCACAUUCCCCCUCAAUCUCAGCGGUAGAUGCUUUCCAACCCAAGGAUCGUGUUCAUCUCACUUAGAUUAGGUCUGAACAAGGCCUUGGUACGAUUAUGGUGGACAAGAUUCUUGGCAAUUGUGAUAGUCGGCUAGUUGUUGCAUAAGAUUUGAGUAGGGUUUGAUGUCUCAACUUUGAACUCGUUGAGCAGCCGCUUUAGCCAUAUCCCCUCACAAAUACUCGAGGCUAGUUCUCUAAACUCAGCUUCUGCACUGCUUCUAGCGACCACAAUUUGCUUCUUACUUCGCCAUUUUACUAGGUUUCCCCAUAUGAAAGAGCAAUAUCUUGAUGUAGACCUUCUAUCAUUUGGAGACUCUGCCCGCUCAAUCAGCAUCUGUAUAUACUUCUAAAGAUCUGCUACCUGAUUUUCUAAACAUAAGACCUUUCCUUGGAUCUUUCUUCAGGUAUCUCAAUAUAUGAUUCACUGCCUCACUGUGAUCUAUAGAUGGAUUACUUAGAAACUCACUCAUCCGACUCAUUGAAAAACUUACAUCGAGACGUGUAUGAGUUAGGUAGAUUAGCUUACCUACUAACUGUUGGUAUUGGCCCUUGUCAGCCGCUAAUUCAUUAGUUCUAGGCAUAAGCUUAGUAUUGGGAUCCAUGGGAGUUUCAGUCGGCUUACACCCACUCAUUCCAGUUUCACGCAACAAAUCAAGUGUGUAUUUGCUUUGGGAAAUAGAUAUGCUUUUGUUGCUCUGGACCAUUUUCAUUCCCAAGAAUUACCCUACGUGCCCCAAGUCUUUGAUCUCGAUUUCUUUGGACAUGAGAGACUUGAGUCAAUUAAAACUAUGAGAAGUACUUAGUGAACAAAGUGUGAUCAACUUGUGACUGAGUAUCCAUCAUUCUUUAAGACUUUUGUGAAUAUGUCAAAUCAUACUCUCGGUGACUUUCAGGCCAUACAAUGCCUUUCUAAGUUUGUAUAUUUUUCUUUUCCUUUUGUAUCACUUAUCUCAAAUCCUGCUAGGAUGUCCAUAUAUACUUCUUCAGUCAAGGCUCCAUUAAGGAAGACAUUUUUAACAUCAAGCUGAUAUAGUGGCCACUCCAAGUUGGCAACAAUGGAUAGUAGAGUUUAACCACUAGCGGAAAGGUCUCUUGAUAAUUAAUUCCAUAUGAUUGAGUAUAUCCUUUCGCCGCUAGGUGUGCUUUGUAUUGAUCUAUGCUCCCAUUUGCAUUUUGUUUAACUGAGAACAACCACCUACACCCCAUAGUUUUCUUUCCUAGUGGUAGCCUUGUUAUCACCCAUGUGCCAUUCUUUUCUAGUGCAUUAUAUUCCUUGAGAGUUGCCUUCUUCCAUUCAGGAAUUUUAAGAGCUUCAUCCACAGAAAUAGGAAUAUUGAUUCUGUCUAAAGAUAUCAAUAGGAAAUGCAACUGUGAAGAGGGUGUUGAGCGCACGAUCAUCUUUCAUGUGUGCAAGUGCAAUUGAUAGAUUUAAUGUAAAAUUCAGCUAUCGGCUAGAAUUUGUUAUCUCCUGUUGUGAUUCAAGUUCAACUUGGCUUGGGGAAUUCUCUUGGAAGUGUUGAGAUAGUACCAACACUCGAUGUUUCCUUCUUUCAUACACCUGGCGAAUGAGGAGGGUGACUAUCAAGAUUUGGAGAUGGUGGAUCACCAGAUUUUGGGGAAGGCUAAACAGAAGACUCAAACGAUGAUGACCCGAGAAGGGUGUCCAUUCCCAAUACUGCAAUUCACUGGAAUAACCAAGAAAGAUACAUUUAUGAGCCUGAGGAUCAAACUUGCUUUAUUAUUGAGAGUGAAUAUGCACAAAAGCAAUGCAAUCGAAGAGUUUGAGAAGAAGUUAGAGAUAAGGCGAGACCGGGGAAACAAUUUUUGUAAUGUCUGCAAUGGAGUGUGAUGUUUGAAUGAGGAUUGCUUCUCCUCAAAAUGUGAUUGGGCCAUUAACUUGAAAUAGUAGGGAUCGGGCUACCUUAAGAAUGUGAUGAUUUUUCCAUUCAGCCACACCAUUUUGUUGCAGCAUGUCAACAUAGGAGCUUUGUUGGACAAUUCUAUGAGAUUUAAGAUAUGAGCCAAGUUCAAAAUUGAAAAAAAUCUUUGGCAUUGUCGGUCUUGAUUAUUUGAAUAUCACUUUUGAAUUGGUUUUUACCAUGACAUGGAAGUUUUGGAAGAUGUGCUUGUCUUCUGAUUUGUCUUUCAUUAGAAAUGCCCAACAUAAUCUAGUGUGAUCAUUAGCCAAUAGUAAGAACCACCUUGAGCCUGUGACUCGGGGUACGAAAUAGUCCCCAGAUGUCAUCAUGGAUGAGAGAAAAAGGAUGUGUAGGCUUAUAUUAUCGGGGAGAGCAAGUGUUUCGAGUAUGUUUUGCAAUUUGACAAACUUCACUGAAAUAAACUCAGAUUUUUAUUAAUAAAGGGCAAGGGAAACGAGUACCUUAAAUAUGAAAAAUUGGGAUGACCAAGUCGAAAGUGCAACAUCAUAAUAUCACUUUCUUUAUUGGACUCACCAGGACUCAACUCAACUCAACUCAACUGACAUUUGUGACUAACUAAAUGACUUGAAGAUAGAUAGGCAUUAAGGAAAUAAAGGUCGUCACGAAACUUAACACUACCAAUCGUCUUCCUCGUGCUCAAGUCCUGAAACACAAGAGUUUUAAGGAAUUUAGUCUCAGUUGAGAUCUUUAUUUAAUCUAUUAAUAGACACAAGAUUACAAUCAAGUUCAGGAACAAAUAUCACAGAAUGUAGAGUUAGUGUGCUUGAGAGAUGAACGGUUCUUGUCCCAACUACUUUAGCACAUGUCCCAUUUAC